CACUAGUGAGCCGCAUUUUCAAAACAGAAUUUUAUGAUGAACACUAAUAACACAGAUUAUUCCCCUAAACUUUAUGGUAAAAAAUUAAUCUGUGGUUUCAAUGUGAAGCUGCAGCUUCCUCAACAUUUAAGCAUAUGCUUGAUUUAGGCGCUCGUGUGAGCCCAGAGUUUCCAUGGGAACCACUCAGGCAUGUUCAGGUGAGGCCAAAGGCACAGGGCUGCUGCCUUGGGAGCAGGCUGCAGGCCCGUGAGGCAAAGUUUGUCUGAGAGGGGCUGAGCCUGGCCGUUAGGUGGUAGGAGGCUGCUGCCUUUCAGCUGUGCCCAGGGCAGCAAUCGGGCAGACCUAGGAUAGGAGGCAGGUGGGACCUCCCAGAGUCCAGCUGAGGGAGAAAUGGCCAACAGGCCAGCUGUGGAGGAGACAGGUCUGGGCUCCCCUCCCACACCAAAAGAAAAGAAAUGACUUUAUUUCCCGUUAAGGGAGUAGCUGGAGCAGAAAUAUGGCCCUGGCUUUUUGCUUUCCUGAGGGAAGUGAGCCCUAAUAGUGGCACAGAGAAGCUGUGGGGAAUGAAGGUAACUGGUGUCCAGCUGCAGGCCCUGAGGGAGCCCUGGGGCUGGCUAAAGCCAACGCUGGAGGCCCUGUGAGACUUUCCAGAACAUUGUCAUGUGUGGAUACGUGCAACGUAUUAGGUUGUAAUGACCCUAUGAGAGCAAGCAGGAGGUGACAAGAGCUGGUUACAGGUCAGGGGCAUGAGAGAAGCUGAAGGGUGAGCUGCAGUCCCUCCCAACAGCAGGGAGGGGUAGGAGCAGCCCCGAGGGCUCAGUCCCAUCCCCAGGAGAUGGAGUGUGACCCUUAUCUGAGGGGAAGGAGAGCAGAAGCCACAUGUGGUUCACACUUCUCUCCUUCUUUCCUCCCAGCUCCAUUUAUGUGCUGCCCAGUGCAGCCCUACCAAAGAGCGUUGCUGACAGAGCCUGCUGCAGAUGAAGCUUGAACAAAGACAUGGGUGUAACUCUCCUCUGCUGGGAAAGAGAAACUUGGAUAACUGAAGGUAUCAGGCCUGUCUGCUUCUCUUCAGUCAGUUGUAAGGCAUUCGUAAGGGUGAAGAUGGUAGUCUUCAGUUUCAUCCCAGACAUGUCUCCAUAUUACUGCAGUGCCCAAAUGGAUCCAAGGCUGCGUGUGAGUUGUUCGAGAAAACAAAAAUUUUCUGCUGACUAAUGAGUCUCUGACUUCCUCCAGUCUACCAAAUGUUCUAGCUCCAUCAUAAUUACUGAGGCACAGGCAACAGAUGAAACGUGCAAUUCUUGAUUGUUUGGACUACCGAGGAAAACGAGGAUGGAAAGGACAAAAGGCGAGAAUACAAACGUAUUUACGUUUAGAUGUAGUUGGAAUGCAGUUUAUACAUGCAAGUGUACAUACAGCUCACAUGAGGAGAUACCUGUAUCUCCAGUGAGGUUAGCAUGUAAGCUAGAUUUCUAAUGUCAGAGGAGUGUCAACUAAAAAGGACCAAGAGUGUAAUAUUUUAC
rnacentral:lncRNA from 1 species